ACUAUGAAUGGCAAGAUUGAAAUUGUUUGUUGUCUGUUUGAUCGGGCAAAAACGCAGCAAUGGCGUAAGACGUAAUGUUUGAUCAAACAAUUUAUGGGCUGCGGGUGGCAGCUUAACUGGAUUGGGUAAAAUCUGUACCAAUUUAUUACAGCAUCCCAAUAAAGAGUACUGUGUUCAAAUGAAAUUCAGGCUCGCCGACAAAUAGGCGCCUCUAUACAGACGAUAGCCGUGAGGCUGGCGGUUUUGUAAAAGACACGAGGUCAUCGGUAACCAGAUAGCUCACCUCUUUUUUACUCGCAGCUCUAUAUUAAU
rnacentral:ncRNA from 1 species